UCAUAAACCUGCCCACAUUUUAAUAUUGGUAGAAAUUUAUUGUUCAUAACCUGGUAUUAUUUUUAACAUUCCGUGACAUCGUGACACUUUCAACGGCUGUCGCCGCUCGCUAGUCAUUCAUUAGCUUUGCCAUCACUGGACUCGAACGUACGCUUGCGCAUCUGAAUAAUAAUUGCUUUCGCACAUAUCAUUGCGACCUAAAAGUAAAUUUUUAAAUAGAUAGUGCACCUUAAGUGUCCUAACCGUUCCGGGUCCGCUAUACAAGGCGCUGCUGGCUCUGUGUACCUGUGUUUUACAUAAAUCCUCAAACCCCUAUAUUGGGGUUUCAGUACUGGAUUUAAGAAGAUUUCAGUACGGGACUUAGAAGACCUAGGCUUCUCGCUUGGCUACCUACUGCUGCCUACCCUCUGCUUCGCUUCCGCUUCGGACCUGCAGCUUAGCACGGCGACCUACAACCCUGCCCGUGGCUGACGACCUGUUCCACCGGCAUCUGACCAUCCAGGGGAGUGCUUGAACUACGCAGUGAAAUCAGAUACUAGGCCGACACACCACGACCCGUUCUACCGACUUAGGUGGCCUGCGGCCAUCAAUAAACUAUUUUCGUUGGACCUA